ACAGACUGCUUUUUAAGUGUAUUUAGAGCCCCACAGCACUUUAGCAUUAGGUGGCAAGGCUUCCUGGAGCUCAAGUUCUGACAACUGGGAUCAGCAAUUCUCUGGCUAGGGCUGGUUUUACUACUCCCUCUGUGGGUUGGCAUCAGCUGAGUUUGGUCUGAUUUUGCUUUCUGCUAUAACAGGUCAUCACUGAGAUUUAUACAAUAAAACCAGGUGAGCACUUGGGAUAUUUCAGAUGUUUCCCUGUUGUAAUGAAGCUUUUUAAAAAUGCUUUGCAAGUCUUUGGUUGUUUUUCAGUGACCCUCCAGAGGACUAAAGGAAAGUUUUGCUUCGCCCCUACAGUUUUGGCACUGUGAGCAGUAUACCAAAACUACUCCACCCUUCCGAAAGCCACAGUGAAGAAAACCCAAGGCCUGACAAGCCAGCAGAAGUGCAAAAAAGUUUUACCAAUCAGACUGAUAGGUGGGAGGAACUUGCCUUGAGUCUCAAAUGAGAUUGGACUUUGAACCUUCAAGUUGAUGCUGGAAUGACUUAACAUUUUUGUGGACUAUUUGGAAGAGAUUAUUAUAAUUUGCAAGGACACAACUGAAGACAAUACUUAUUUUUACCAAGGAUUUGAUUGGAACUUUAUACUUUAAAAUGUGAUCAGACUGCUUUUAAUAAUUGACAUUGACUUUAUAAAGCCAAUAGAUGUAGAAAAAGACAGCUUGUACCUUGUCUACAUGGCUUUUUUUUACCGGACUCCUGAUCUUGUCGUAAGGAAAGAAUGUCACUUUCUAGCAGGUGAGAACCUCAAGAUCUAUGGAAAACUCCAAGAAAAAAAAUUUACCCAAUACACACAGGCAUUACAGGCACAAUCUGUUAUGAAAUCCUUGGCUUGGCUCUUCAGGCUCAAGAGGCUUUUGAAAGUCUAACUUGAGACAGGAGGUGGAGUAAGAUGGCUGAAUAGAAGCCAGCAGCAAUUAUCUUACUAUAGUCACACCAAAGUGAACAAUUGUACACACAAGAAAGCACCUUUAUAAGAACCAAGAAAGAAUCAGGUGAGUGAUCACAGUAUUUGGUUUUAACAUAAUAUCAAGGAAAGAGUAACUGAAAAGGGCAGAAAAGACAAUUUUGUAUUGCCUACACAAUCCUUCCCCCUUCCCCAAGGAGCGUGAAAAGAG
rnacentral:lncRNA from 1 species